GGGGGCGUAGCUCAGUGGUAGAGCAGGCGACUGCAGAUCGUCAGGUCCCCGGUUCAAACCCGGGCGCCCCCU
rfam:Acanthamoeba castellanii str. Neff unplaced genomic scaffold scf7180000084647, whole genome shotgun sequence.